AAAAGCUUCGGGGUACGAGUGGCGACGGGUGAGUACACGUGGGUGAUCUGCCCUGCACUUCGGGAUAAGCCGGGAAACUGGGUCUAAUACCGGAUAUGACCACAGCAUGCAUGUGUUGUGGUGGAAAGAUUUAUCGGUGCAGGAUGGGCCCGCGGCCUAUCAGCUUGUUGGUGGGGUAAUGGCCUACCAAGGCGACGACGGGUAGCCGGCCUGAGAGGGCGACCGGCCACACUGGGACUGAGACACGGCCCAGACUCCUACGGGAGGCAGCAGUGGGGAAUAUUGCACAAUGGGCGCAAGCCUGAUGCAGCGACGCCGCGUGAGGGAUGACGGCCUUCGGGUUGUAAACCUCUUUCAGCAGGGACGAAGCGCAAGUGACGGUACCUGCAGAAGAAGCACCGGCCAACUACGUGCCAGCAGCCGCGGUAAUACGUAGGGUGCAAGCGUUGUCCGGAAUUACUGGGCGUAAAGAGCUCGUAGCGGUUUGUCGCGUCC
rnacentral:rRNA from 1 species